GGGAGAGAGCAGUCAGGCGGCGGCGGCUCGAAGCACAGUCGGGCGGUGGCGGCUAAUAUUUACCCAUUGCCACCCGUAUAAGUAGAUAAAAGACCUAGCGAGUCGAUCCCCAUCUCCCUCGACUCGAUCCCUCGAUCCCGCAGGUCGCGUACGGUGCUCCUCUCUCCCUCGAUCCUUUCUUUCCCCGUCGCGCCGCACCCACCCACAACCCACCAUCGAUCCCGCAGCCCUUCGGCGCUCCUCUCGCUGACCACCACCGUCGCCUCCCCCAAGGCCACCGGCGCCGCGUCUGUGCCACCUCCUCCCUCACCGGCCUCAAGCCCCUUCUCCAGCGCCUUCCCUCUCCUCUACAGCAGGAUGGUGAGGGGAGGACAUGAGAGGGCGGACGCGGCGGAACGGGACGACCAUCUGAUGUCUUCGGUGUGGUAGCCCAACCCACCACUCCUCAUGCGACGAUGACGACGAAGGGCAGAGGACCAUCUAACUACGUUCCGCAGGUGAUGGAAUUGGAGAAGCAACUUUGGUCAGAAGGUCGAUGGACCGAGGACCGAGGAACUACAGAUGCUGUGGCGGAGGCCGUGGAGACUACUCAGCCUUGGUCCAGAAUCUUGGCAAACCACUCAUGGUGCAUUCCUCUCUCUUCCUUCUUGAUUGAACUAUUUGUGUGUCAUCCCCUUCUCUGAUUGAAGUACAACAUGCAGAUACCUAAUGGACACUGUCUUCUCUGAAAUUGUCUCAAUGACAGUGGCCCCGGGCCCCACCCGGUAGCCUCUGGGGGGGGGGGGCAAAUGAUCCAAUGAAGAAGUAAAGUGGGGCAAAAGAUCCAAUUUCUGCCAAUGGAGAACUUUCACCCCCAUCUAAUGGUGGAAAUAAAGGAGUCAAUAAUUCAGUCAAGCCAUUAGUUGUCUAAUGUCGACAUACCCGUGCGCCUCCUCUUCCCACUCCUAUCUUCUCCUUCGCUCCAGGUCAAGCGACAUCCCAUCACUUGGACCCAGGAAUCGCUGCCUUCCAAACCGUACCUCGCGCAACCUUGCCGAGCAAUUGAUAUGUCCAUCCAGUAGCUGCAGCCCAAGCUCGCUACCGGGACGCUGGCGGCGGCCGCCGAAUUCUUGCGUGGACGUGACGGCCAGUGGCGGACCUAGGACCAAAGUAUUGGGGGUGCCAAACAUCAGUACAUUGGGUGUGCCAUGGCACCCAUGGAAACCCCCUAGAUCCGUCACUGGACAUUAUGCAUGCAGACAAUGAUAAGAGGAAAUCAGUAUUAAUAGCACGAUUUUCCGACUUACUUGGCUUGGUAUGGCGCUGCCGUAUACUUGGAGACACUGUGCGGGUGCUACAUUUGGUACAAUGUCAUGGCGGCAUAGAAUCUGUAAGUGAAAGAGGUCAAGACGAGUGCCUCCUUCUCCAUCAUGGUUUGUGGUGAUCUGCAGGUCAGUAUGGGGAAUCCCUAGCUCCACGUAGGCCGCGGCUCUGCGUCGCUAACCGUGAUGGGCGCCGGCAUCAUUGUUCUCGCCACGUCGUCGUUGGGGCUGCUCUAACCGUGGUGGGUGCCGCCGCGCCGGCAUCAUUCUUCUCGCCACCCCGCGUCGUCGUCGUUGGGGCUGCUCUAACCGUGGUAGGCACCUCCGCGCUGGCAUCAUUCUUCUCGCCACCAUUGUUGCGACCAGUGUCGUCGGUGCAUGUGUUGCAGCCUUGCAGGUCGCUGUCGUGGACAGUUGGCUGCUGGAGGUCGUGUUCAGGGAAGAGAACGAGCAGAAGAAGAUUGGGAAAGAGAGGGAGGAGGGGAAGACAAUGAGACCAUGAUCGAUCGCAGAGAUUGUGCGGCACGUCCGGUGUGGCGCGAACCCGCGUCUACGAGUGAUCGUCGUCAAGUGCGUACUUGAGGAAUACAGAGAGGGAAAGCAAUCAGCUAACAUGGUGCCGGAGUUCCUCCAAGAUUUUGUUUUGCACAACUAGGACGGCCAUAGCACUAGGCAGAUGCGGCACCAAAUCAUAGUCCUAGACUCCUGAUGCACCUUCUAGCACAUGCAGGCGUUGCUUCUUAAGUACUCCCUCCGUUCCUAAAUAUAAGUCUUUUUAGAGAUUUCAAUACAAACUACAUAUGGAUGUAUAUAGACAUACUUUAGAUUGUAGAUUCACUCAUUUUACUCCAUAUGUAGUCACCUAUUGUAAUCUCUAAAAAAACUUAUAUUUAGGAACGGAGGGAGUAAGUAGGUAUUGAUUCUGAUUUGUAUGGAUGGCCUCCUUCUACAUACAACUAGAGAACUCAUAGGUUAUUUCCUUUCCUAGCAUGGCCUGCACGGCACUGCUUGCAGCAGUGGUGCCAAAAAUUACUGCCCAUUAAUGAUUCCUUCACAGACAAUAGUAGUUUACACUAAUACGGUGACCAUCUCUUUCUACGAUGCAAGGAAGCAAGGAAAAUGUGGCGUGCCUGUGGCCUUGAGGAACUCCGGCUGAUGCUCCUUACAUGUCCUACUCCGCGUCAGCUGCUAGAAGCCUUGUUCUCUCUGCCUGAAGAUGAAAAGUUAAAGUGUAUUCUUCUACUAUGGCUGUGGUGGACUGAGCGGAAUAAAGCUAAUCAUAAACAGACCCGGGCGUCAGUAGAAGAAUUUCAAUUUCUAAUGACCAGGCAUGUAGCCGAAUGGCGCCAGUUCUGUAUGAAGCCGGAAAGCAAACAACAGCAGGUGUUCAGAAAACCAGUGUGGAAAGGGACAGAGGUGGAUACAGUGAAGAUUAAUAUUGAUGGAGCCUUUGACGGUUCCAAUCAGCUUGCAGGCUGGGGCUGCAUUGCGCGUGACCAUACAGGAGAUGUCAUUUUUGCCGCUGCGGUAAAACUUGACUAUAUGAGUGAGGCUUUGCAUGCUGAGGCGUACGCCCUUAUCAGGGGUAUCCAGCUGGCUGGAAACUAUGGGAUGGGUAAGGUUGUUUUUGAGACUGACUGCCUGGGUCUGGUCCGAGCUAUGAAAUCAAAAAUGUUCGAUCGGUCGCCUCUUGGUGUUGUUUUCCGGGAGACAAGGUUUCUUCUUCAGUUGGGUAUUAGUGAAUGGAGUAUUAUCCACUGUCCCCGCACUUGUAAUGUUCCAGCUCAUGAGCUGGCAGCUAUAGGGAGAAGUGGUGCUUAUGGUGACCAGCAUGUAUGGUUGGCUCACCUCCCAUCCGUUGUAAACGUUGCUGUGGCCGCUGAUGUAGUCGGCCAGCCUUAAUUUUGGAAUGCAAGGUAUUCCAAUUUCAAAAAGAAAACUACUAAUGUUUUCCUACUAUAUUUAUGAGUAUUUGUAUUCCACGCAAUUAUUCUUAGUCAUGAUAUGCUGACAUGAAGUUCCUCUUCUAGGACAAGCAUGGGGGUGUGCCUUAUUGCAUAGUUAAA
rnacentral:rRNA from 1 species